rnacentral:snRNA from 1 species
UCACUUACCUGGACGGGGUCAAUGGAUGAUCAAGAAGGUCCAUGGCCUAGGUUGGUGACCUCCAUUGCACUCAGGAGGGGUGCCCGCCUAAGGUCGGCCCAAGUGGUCGAGCCUACGUCAUAAUUUGUGGCAGUGGAGGCCUGCGUUCGCGCGGCCUCCGC